rnacentral:tRNA from 1 species
GCCUAGUUAGCUUAGUUGGUAGUGCGUCUGCCUUGUAAGCGCUAGGCCGCGGGUUUGAAUCCCGCCCGGGGCG